rnacentral:rRNA from 1 species
ACGCUCGACACCUACGGGAGGCAGCAGUGAGGAAUAUUGGUCAAUGGGCGCUAGCCUGAACCAGCCAAGUAGCGUGAAGGAUGAAGGCUCUAUGGGUCGUAAACUUCUUUUAUAUAAGAAUAAAGUGCAGUAUGUAUACUGUUUUGUAUGUAUUAUAUGAAUAAGGAUCGGCUAACUCCGUGCCCGCAGCCGCGGUAAUCUGAGCGGGCUGGCAAGGC